rnacentral:rRNA from 1 species
GAUGAACGCUGGCGGCGUGCCUAAUACAUGCAAGUCGAGCGAACGGACGAGAAGCUUGCUUCUCUGAUGUUAGCGGCGGACGGGUGAGUAACACGUGGAUAACCUACCUAUAAGACUGGGAUAACUUCGGGAAACCGGAGCUAAUACCGGAUAAUAUUUUGAACCGCAUGGUUCAAAAGUGAAAGACGGUCUUGCUGUCACUUAUAGAUGGAUCCGCGCUGCAUUAGCUAGUUGGUAAGGUAACGGCUUACCAAGGCAACGAUGCAUAGCCGACCUGAGAGGUUGAUCGGCCACACUGGAACUGAGACACGGUCCAGACUCCUACGGGAGGCGGCAGUAGGGAAUCUUCCGCAAUGGGCGAAAGCCUGACGGAGCAACGCCGCGUGAGUGAUGAAGGUCUUCGGAUCGUAAAACUCUGUUAUUAGGGAAGAACAUAUGUGUAAGUAACUGUGCACAUCUUGACGGUACCUAAUCAGAAAGCCACGGCUAACUACGUG